AUUGAACGCUGGCGGCAGGCCUAACACAUGCAAGUCGAACGGUAGCACAGAGAGCUUGCUCUCGGGUGACGAGUGGCGGACGGGUGAGUAACGUCUGGGAAACUGCCCGAUGGAGGGGGAUAACUACUGGAAACGGUAGCUAAUACCGCAUAACGUCGCAAGACCAAAGUGGGGGACAUUCGGGCAUCACACAAUCGGACGUGCCCAGAUGGGAUUGGCUAGGAGGUGGGGUAAUGGCUCACCUAAGCGACGAUCCCUAGCUGGUCUGAGAGGAUGACCAGCCACACUGGAACUGGGACACGGUCCAGACUCCUACGGGAGGCAGCAGUGGGGAAUAUUGCACAAUGGGCGCAAGCCUGAUGCAGCCAUGCCGCGUGUAUGAAGAAGGCCUUCGGGUUGUAAAGUACUUUCAGCGGGGAGGAAGGCGGUGAAGUUAAUAGCUUCACCGAUUGACGUUACCCGCAGAAGAAGCACCGGCUAACUCCGUGCCAGCCGCCGCAGUAA
rnacentral:rRNA from 1 species